GUAUAAACAAGAGUAGUGGUACAUGGUGCAGGCUUGCUUAGGCUUCACUUCCACGAUUGAUUCGUUCUUGGUUUUGAUGGUUCGGUUUUUUAUCAAGAGUGCUUCGGCUGAGAGGAACGCCUUGCCAGAUCUCAGGUUGGAAGGAUUCGAAGUGAUUGAUGAGGCAAAAGCUCAAGUAGAGGCCUUGUAUCUUCUAGUGUGCCGAUAUUUUGGCAUUGGCUGCUCAAGAUUUCAUUGACUUAGUAAUUGACUAGCCUCUCAACACGCGUCUUAAGCGUUUUCUAUAUAAGAUACCAUUAGCCACCCCAAGUUUACUGGUAUCUGAUUAGUGUUCUCUUAGUCUAUUAAUUUCAGAGUGACGGUCCAAGUUGGACAGUGCCUACCAAAAGAAGGCAUGGCGGCACCUCUUUGUCAUCUCAAGCCUCAAAACCUACCUUCUCCUCUCGAUUCUGUUGCUGCCCAAAGGCAAAAAUAUGUUGCUAAAGGCCUCGACGAUCAUGAUCUCAUAACCCUAGGGGCACAUACCAUUGGCGAAACGCCCUGCCAAUUUAUCCGAUACCGGCUCUACAAUUUCACAUCCACUGGUAACUCUGACCCGACCAUAAACCAAGCAUUCCUAGGCUCCUAGCACAGCUCCAAGCUCUUUGCCCGAAAAAUGGCGACUGCACCACCCGGUGGCACUGGACAAGGGCAGCCAAUCCAAAUUUGAUAUAAGCUUCUUUAAGAAUGUGAAGGAUGGAAAGGCAAAUUUUGGAGUCGGAUCAAAGGGUUUGGGGGGAUGAUUUAACUCGUAAGAUAAAAACUAUGCUGGCAACUUUAGGGGAUUGCUAGGGUUUAUAUUUUGUAUGCGUGGAGAAAUGUUGAGUGUGACGGUGACAUUGAUAAGUAGCAUAACUAAUAUACGUGUUAUAAUAUGUGGAUUGAUAAUAUCACGUAAUGGUGUGACAGAUCAACUGAAAUCAACUUUGAUAACUCUUCUUUGUUCAAACGAGUAUUUUAUCAAAUACAAGUUAGGGCCGUAAGUCAAAGUUGUGUGCUUAUAUCU